CCUUUCUCCCUCUCCCUUCUCUUCCUCCCUCCCUCCUUCCCUCCCUCUCCCUCUCUCUCUUUCCUCUCCCUUUCCCUCUCCUUCUUCCCCUCUUCUGUCUCUUAGCUUCCUAACAUUAAAGAGAAAAUGCUGCUAUCAGUGACUUCCAGGCCUGGGAUUUCGACUUUUGGCUAUAACAAAAACAACAAGAAGCCAUAUGUGUCGUUGUCUCAGCCAAUGGCACCACCUAGUCCAAGCAACAGCACCCCUAACAGCAGCAGUGGGAGCACUGUAAAUGACCAGCUGAGUAAAACCAACCUCUACAUCCGGGGAUUGCAGCCAAGCACUACCGACCAGGACCUAGUCAAGUUGUGUCAGUCAUAUGGCAAGAUUGUCUCCACUAAGGCCAUACUGGACAAGACCACAAACAAAUGCAAAGGCUAUGGCUUUGUGGACUUUGACAGUCCUUCAGCAGCACAGAAAGCUGUAACAGCACUGAAAGCCAGUGGUGUGCAAGCACAGAUGGCAAAGCAACAGGAGCAGGACCCCACAAAUUUAUACAUCUCAAACCUCCCGCUGUCAAUGGAUGAGCAAGAACUGGAGGGAAUGCUGAAGCCCUUUGGCCAGGUUAUUUCCACUAGAAUCCUUCGAGACACCAGUGGGACCAGCAGAGGGGUUGGCUUUGCAAGGAUGGAGUCCACAGAGAAGUGUGAAGCCAUCAUCACCCACUUUAAUGGAAAAUAUAUUAAGACACCCCCUGGAGUACCAGCCCCAUCUGAUCCCUUGCUUUGCAAAUUUGCUGAUGGGGGUCCAAAGAAACGACAGAACCAAGGAAAAUUUAUGCAAAAUGGACGGGCCUGGCCAAGGAAUGGAGACAUGGGUGGUAUGGCCUUGACCUAUGACCCCACCACAGCUCUUCAGAAUGGGUUUUACCCAGCUCCUUAUAACAUCACCCCCAACAGGAUGCUUGCUCAGUCUGCACUGUCCCCGUAUCUUCCAUCUCCUGUGUCUUCAUAUCAGAGAGUAACUCAGACAUCUCCUCUACAAGUACCUAACCUGUCUUGGAUGCACCACCAGUCAUACCUCAUGCAGCCUUCAGGUUCAGUUCUGACACCAGGAAUGGAUCAUCCUAUUUCUCUCCAGCCUGCCUCCAUGAUGGGACCUCUUACCCAGCAACUGGGCCACCUCUCGCUCAGCAGCACGGGCACAUAUAUGCCAACAGCUGCAGCUAUGCAAGGAGCGUACAUCUCCCAGUACACCCCUGUGCCUUCUUCCAGUGUUUCAGUUGAGGAGAGCGGCAGCCAGCAAAAUCAAGUGACGGUGGAUGCUCCCUCAGACCAUGGGGUCUAUUCUUUCCAGUUCAACAAGUAACAGUGAUUGGCCUGUUUUCCCUGAUAAAACUCCUCCCAGCGGCUCUCGAAGAAGCGACGCAUGAUGUGCCCAGCCUUGCCCACUUCAGAGUCAUCCUCAUUGAAUGUCUGGCAGUUGUCAAAGACCAGAAGUGCAUCAGCCGCAAACUCCUCUGAGCUGGUGUACCUGGGCAGGGGUGGAGACAGACCUGUGAGCUGGGUACAAGUUACGGCUGUAACAGAAGAGCCGGGACAGUUACUGAAGUCUACUUACCCUCCCCGGAGCAGCCGCUCCCGCAUGGUGGAAAAAUCCAUAGGGUUUUUGAUGAUGCGCCGGUACCCACUCACCAAUCGUGGGUUCACAGGCUCCAGGAAAGGCCAGGCUGCAUCAUGGGACUCCAUCUCCAUCAAGAUAAUCCUAUUAAGAAAGACAGUGAUGACUGCACUCUCAGGAAGCAAACACACUGACCCCUCCCAGCCCUUUACCGUGGCAAAGAUAGAGCCAGUUGUCCCCAGAAUUCACUCAACUCACUCGCAAAACGUGAGAUCACUGUGGUGGUUCCGCAUGGAGAGCCGCCGCCGCUUUGAGGGGGACUGUCCUCCUUCUGAGCACCGAGGCACUGCCGGGCUUUCUCGGCCCCUCGACAGCAGCCGGCGCCGGCAGCUAUCACCCUCUGGGAAGUUCAGCACAUAACUACUUUUCCGCUUCUGGCCUCGUUUUGGGAAACCUGGCCUCUGAGUCAAUUCUCCCUCUACCUGCUGAAGAUAAGAAAAAGGUGGUAUAAAGUGGCUACCCUCUGCAUGGAUACGUUGAAGGGAGCUAAUCUCCAAGCCUACCCGGUGCCAAAGUGUUGAAGGGCUCCAGAGAGACUUCACUGAGGAUUGGAGUGUCUUCCAGUUGAUCAGGAAGAUGUGAAGGAUCAUCUAAGCAGCUCACUGUGGGAUCAGGGACCAAGACUGAGACCUCUUGGUGUAAUGAUUCCACAGAAGGGACAGAGCCGUUGUAACCACACAUCUUUAGUUCUAGGAAAUCCCAGGAGAGGGCAAAAGUCAAAAUCAGUGCCGUCAACGGGCUCAGUUAGCUAUUAGUAGGCAAUCUUUGCUAGAGGGAUGGAUGUUCAUUCUUUCAACAUUUAUGGGUCCCAGUUCUAUGUUGGGUACCGAUCAUACCGAGAACUUUUGAGUAUGCAAAGAUGUGCGAGGAAGAUCCUGCAGCAGGUAAAGAGGGGAAAGAAGAGUGGGGUCUGAGACAAGAACCCCAUCAUGUUCUCAACUGUUUCCCCCAUCCAGUUAAACAGAGAAAACAUCCUGUGAUUUCACAGGGUGGUCACCUUUAUACUUGGAAUCAAUAGCAAACUUAAGCAUUUAUCUAUUCUGAGGGGGAAGGUGAGAGGGACUGCACAUGUACCUAUGCUAACAACAACAAAAAAGAAAGGAAACUCUCCAGGCUGCCUACCAAGCCAGUGCCAUUCUCCGCCACAACUGAAGUCAGCUCCUUUUCUGCUGCCUCAUCAGGAUGGAUACCACUGCCUACCUCCUGGGAGGGUGCAAAGGUCUGGAUGCUGGAUCCCAAC